UGGGGGAUAUUGCACAAUGGGGGAAACCCUGAUGCAGCGACGCCGCGUGGAGGAAGAAGGUUUUCGGAUUGUAAACUCCUGUCGUUAGGGACGAUAAUGACGGUACCUAACAAGAAAGCACCGGCUAACUACGUGCCAGCAGCCGCGGUAAAACGUAGGGUGCAAGCGUUGUCCGGAAUUACUGGGUGUAAAGGGAGCGCAGGCGGGAAGACAAGUUGGAAGUGAAAACCAUGGGCUCAACCCAUGAAUUGCUUUCAAAACUGUUUUUCUUGAGUAGUGCAGAGGUAGAUGGAAUUCCCGGUGUAGCGGUGGAAUGCGUAGAUAUCGGGAGGAACACCAGUGGCGAAGGCGGUCUACUGGGCACCAACUGACGCUGAGGCUCGAAAGCAUGGGUAGCAAACAGGAUUAGAUACCCUGGUAGUCCAUGCCGUAAACGAUGAUUACUAGGUGUUGGGGGAUUGACCCCCUCAGUGCCGCAGUUAACACAAUAAGUAAUCCACCUGGGGAGUACGACCGCAAGGUUGAAACUCAAAGGAAUUGACGGGGGCCCGCACAAGCAGUGGAGUAUGUGGUUUAAUUCGAAGCAACGCGAAGAACCUUACCAGGUCUUGACAUCCGAUGCAUAGCACAGAGAUGUGUGAAAUCCUUCGGGACAUCGAGACAGGUGGUGCAUGGUUGUCGUCAGCUCGUGUCGUGAGAUGUUGGGUUAAGUCCCGCAACGAGCGCAACCCUUAUUGCCAGUUACUACGUUAAGAGGACUCUGGCGAGACUGCCGUUGACAAAACGGAGGAAGGUGGGGAUGACGUCAAAUCAUCAUGCCCUUUAUGACCUGGGCUACACACGUACUACAAUGGCGUUAAACAAAGAGAAGCAAGACCGCGAGGUGGGGCAAAACUCAAAAACAACGUCUCAGUUCAGAUUGCAGGCUGCAACUCGCCUGCAUGAAGUCGGAAUUGCUAGUAAUCGCGGAUCAGCAUGCCGCGGUGAAUACGUUCCC
rnacentral:rRNA from 1 species